rnacentral:tRNA from 1 species
AGAGGGGUCAUUGCUUAGUGGCAGAACAUCUGUAUGGUAUUCAGAAGGUCCCUGGUUCAGUUCCAGGCAUCUCUA